UUGACAGUUGUAGUAUUAUUGGACAGGAUGAAUGAGUGUAGUAGAUAUGGUUGUAUGGUGUUACUAAAGUUGGCAAGACAUGUUGCAGUUCGAUAAGAUUGACAUGUGCAUGUUUCUAUCACAUGUACAUAUUCAAACAAUGGACCAUUGUCAUCAGUAGCCAGUGUCUAUAAUAAAGAGGUACAUACUGACUGGAAUAGUUAUUCAUUUUAUCAUAUACUAAAGGUCAUAUAAGAGACUAUACUAGAUAUCAGCUACUGAAUGAUGAAUACCUUCCAGUGUUUGGUCCUUGUUGCUGCUAUUGGAUUCAUCAUUACUACUACUACUACAGUCUCUGCUGGUAACUAUGUAUGCUAUUCUGAUGACAAUUGCAAGAAUUUUACAGCCAGGACCAAAGGUAAUUGCUGUGCAAUGGAUGAUGUCAAGUCCUACACUGAUGUUACUAUAGCUGCAGUUUGUUUCACGUGCUAGCAGUUGGAACAAAGAAGACUUCUUAUGAUACUUAUAAUCUUUGCUGCAUUUCAAUUUCUUUGUGUUUGCAAAGUUUACUGAUAGAAAUCAUUAAAGCAACUAUUAA